UCCAUUAUAGUCUAAUUGGUUAGGAUACUUAGCUCUCACCUGAGAGACCUCGGUUCAAAUCCUGACAAUGAAA
rfam:Picea glauca, whole genome shotgun sequence.